rnacentral:rRNA from 1 species
GAGGAUCAGAGUUCGACUCCGGAGAAGGGGCCUGAGAAAUGGCCACUACGUCUAAGGAUGGCAGCAGGCGCGCAAAUUACCCACUCUCGGCUCGAGGAGGUAGUGACGAGAAAUAACGAGACCGUUCUCAUUGAGGCCGGUCAUCGGAAUGGGUACAAUUUAAACCCUUUAACGAGUAUCAAGGGGAGGGCAAGUCUGGUGCCAGCAGCCGCGGUAAUUCCAGCUUCUCCUAAUGCAUAGAAUUAUUGCUGCGGUUAAAAAGCUCGUAGUUGGAUUCGUAUCGAUACUCUGGAACCCUUCGGGUGUUUCUGGAUGUUAUCGAUUUAUCGUAAUGUUCAGUUUUGAGUCCUUAACAGGAUUCUUAACAGGCAUUGCAAGUUUACUUUGAACAAAUCAGAGUGCUUCAAACAGGCGUAUUCGCUUGAAUGAUCGUGCAUGGAAUAAUAGAAAACGAUUUCGGUUCAGUUUUAUUGGUUUUACGGACUGAGAUAAUGGUUAACAGAGACAAACGGGGGCAUUUGUAUGGCCCCGUGAGAGGUGAAAUUCUUGGACCGUGGCCAGACAAACUACAGCGAAAGCAUUUGCCAAGAAUGUCUUCAUUAAUCAAGAACGAAAGUCAGAGGUUCGAAGGCGAUCAGAUACCG